rnacentral:misc_RNA from 1 species
CUCAUUUUUCCUUGUUCGGGGUUUGAGGUGCCACCUUACAAAAGGAUGGGUGUACGCUCUCUUUUCAGAAUGUGGUUCAUCUCAAAGCCCUUUACACUUUGGAGCCAGGCCUGUUCAAUUUUACAAAUAACACGUUUUGCUUGUAGUCAGGGUGCUGUGACAACAUGAAGAGUUCGAGCUACCUCCCAGGAUGAGUGCAGGUUUUCCUGGUGACAAAUCUCAGGCAUUCAAAGGUUCUGUUAGCAGUGCCAUACUUGUGGGUUUACAGAGAUGGUGUGUCUGGCUGAGAACAAAGGAGCCGUACCAGGAAAGUUGAAGCAUAUCUUCAUUUUCAAGUCCAGGCUAAAAUAAGGUCUGAGGAAAAGAAUGAGCUGCGUGUGAAGGAUAGGAACAGAAAUCAUGAAAGAUCUGUUUGUCCAGGCCAGUGUUUCACCAUAAGAGAUCACUUUAAAAUAAAUGAUGAAAUAAUUCUUUGCAAUUGCAAAUUUACCUUCCUUGCUUACCACAUUGUUAACUGUAGGAGCUGAUACCUGGUUCUUCCACUGUUAACUUGUACUCUGUGUUUGUUCUAGCAAUAAAUGCUCUUUAUGC